rnacentral:rRNA from 1 species
AACGAACGCUGGCGGCAGGCUUAACACUUGCAAGUCGAGAGCCCCGCAAGGGGAGCGGCAGACGGGUGAGUAACGCGUGGGAAUCUACCCAUCUCUACGGAAUAACGCAUGGAAACGUGUGCUAAUACCGUAUACGUCCUUCGGGAGAAAGAUUGAUCGGAGAUGGAUGAGCCCGCGUUGGAUUAGCUAGUUGGUGGGGUAACGGCCUACCAAGGCGACGAUCCAUAGCUGGUCUGAGAGGAUGAACAGCCACACUGGGACUGAGACACGGCCCAGACUCCUGAGGGAGGCAGCAGUGGGGAAUAUUGGACAAUGGGCGCAAGCCUGAUCCAGCCAUGCCGCGUGAGUGAUGAAGGCCCUAUGGUUGUAAAGCUCUGUCACCGGUGAAGAUAAUGACGGUAACCGGAGAAGAAGCCCCGGCUAACUUCGUGCCAGCAGCCGCCGUAAGAC